AAGGCAGAUGGAGAGCAUUUAAGCAGACAAAAACAGUCCAACAGUAGCAGCACUUAGAACUGGAUCUUUGUUAACAGGAGUGGCUGUGGCCUGUUGGCUAUUUUCUCCGUGCAAAGCUCUACUUUGCCAAGAAGUUAGGGGAGGAGACCUACUCCAAGACCGUCAUCCUAGUGAAAAAUGUUCUGUCACAACAUUACACCCACUUGGAGAGGUCUCCAUGGAAAGGCUUACCAGAGCUGACCAAUGAAAAUGGCCAGCAUUGCCCCUUCAGCUGUGAGACCCAGGCCUGGUCUCUGGCUACUGUGCUGGAGGUGCUCCAUGAUCUGUAGAGAUCCCAUGAAGCUGUGAGCCACUCCCCUCCUCUGACUCAUUGUCUGUCAUCACAAAACUUUUUUGUAGGAUCCCUAAAGAAUCCAAGGAACAAUGACAUCGUCAGCCAAGUUUUCCAGAAUAAGUAUUGUAAGGUAACCAGGUUAUUGUAUCAAAGCAUUUUAAGGUUAAAGCAUUUUUCUCUCUCCCUGGCCCUGUUUAAGGAAUCAACAAAAUGCCAUUUUGAUCCAGUUGAUCUCAAAAUUUAAAAAGGUUUACAGUGGUUGUCACAUUAAUAAAAAUUUAGACAGAGAUAACACUGGAAAGCACCUGAGCUGUGUUAUUGUACACGUACAGUUCAGACCAACACACACUAGAUCAGCGGAUUAUUACUAUAGUAAAGGCUUAAUUUAAUGAGGACUCAGGACACAACAGCUAGGAACCAUUUUGGUUCCUUUUUAGGGACUGUACAUGUUCCUCAAAUGAGCAGCGUUCCUAAUGUUCCUAGCUGUACUUAGCUGUACCUAGCUGUUCCUUUUUAGGACCUUUAAGACUUGUCCCUAAAAAGGAACAGUGUUCCUAGCUUCAGUGAAUGUUGUUUUCUCCUGAAUUCUUACUUUUGCUAGAUGUUGAGGAUUUUUAAUUGAAUCAUGAUGAUACUGACCUGAGACCUCCAUCAGUUCAGGUCAGGUGUUUGUGAUGUUAAAGCACAAGAUAGCUCUGCUAACUAAACACUGUGGAACUGGGUACCAUCUGCUAAUAAAUGAUCUAGAGUUGUUAUCUUAAGUUUUCUAACCUGGUGAUGGAAGCUGUACUUUUUGUCUAAUUUCUUGUGUAUUUUAGGAAAAUAAUUUUAACAAAUUAAGUUGAA